AGUUCCCACGGGACGGCAGGGUCUGUGCGGGCAGGGGCCGGCGCACACGGCCAUCCUCACCAUGACGACUUCCCCCGGGAUCGGCGUGGGUAGCCGGUCUCGGAAUCUCACGUUCAAUUCCUUGACCGGCACUAGCAGCGCCAGGCUGAGCGCCGAGAUGGUCAGUUCAGCCGGACUGCUCCGGGGCAGCGCAGUCAGCACGCCGGCCAGCGUCUGCGGGCAGGGGCGGUGAGCAGAGGGCCCCGUGCCAGGGUUCGUGCGCCCCGGCGCGGGCCCCCAGGGCGAGGCCCUCUCUCCCAAGUGCCACCAGGGCUUCCACCUCCGCAGCGCCCUCGUUCAGCCACAGGGCUCCAACCUUUCCAGCGCCCUUGUCACACACUAUCCCUCCACCCUCCGUCCUUCCUCUUUUUUCGAGUUUCCCUAUUCCCGGGACAUUUAGAAGCCGCUUCUCUCUUCUCCCAACUUCACCUUGAAGAGAGAGAAGCAGCCGAUCUGGCGCGGGAGAGACAACCCCAAGAGGCUCGGCAGCUGGGACACCAGCACGUGCAGCGCGGCUCCGCUGGUCAGCGCCUUGACCACAGGCUCCGACAAAAAGGUGGACAGGACGCCUAGCUGCAGCGCGAACAUCCCCAGCUGCGGAGGGGGGGAAGACAUGCAGUCACCAACUAGAGAAGCAGACCAGCCCCGCGCCCCUCAGCCCUCCCGAAAACAAGCCGGAGGCUGGUCCCUCUCUCUCUCCCCCGGCGCAAUUUCCCCGGCCCCCCCAGCAGGGAUCCCCCCGGGUCCUCCCUCACCAUCAGCGCCCCGCUGCCGAAGGCCAUGGCCGCGGCUACCCCAAUCCGCUGAGCUUCCAGCUGCUCCCUCUCGAUUCCGCUCAGGUUCCCCACUAGGGGUUCUGGCACCAGCCGCUCGACAGCCGAGCCUGUCAUGAGGCUAAGUAUGGCGAAAGUUCCUACCACGGGGGACACAUGCAGACAUCACCAGCUGGGCAGCCCUGGGCAGGGCAACAACUCAGGCUCCACGCUCUGGGGCCGAGAUGCUGCUGCCAGACUCCGCUCUCCCGGAAGGCUGCUGCCCCGUCAAGACUGUGGGGCACGAAGAGCUGCACCAGUCGGCAAAAACUGCUCCCUCCGGCAGAUUCUCUGCCUAUGCCCCUCUUCUUCCCCUUCCGAGUCCCUGAGAUGUUCAUUUUAACCAAAUUUCACAGGGGGAAAAAGUUCAAGGAAGAGGAGUCAUUGGAAGUCCCUGGUCACUCACCUGUGGACAGGUGUCUCCCAGUACCCAGCAAGCUGUAGAUGAGGACGGGAAAGAAAGAAGUGUAGAGUCCAAACACCGGGGGCACGGAAGUCAGGAGGGCAAAAGCCAUGCCUGGGAUGGAAGUGGAAGGAAAGGCGUGCUGUGGGGAGGGGGCCUUGCCCAAGCUGCAGGACUCACCCCCUUCCCACACUCUUAGGGGCUGGCAUGAAGGAUGCUAAAUCAUGCCUCAAGAGGGAACUGAGGGGUUAAUGGGCCUCAGUGGGAGGUCAUGGGGUAGACGAGGUCAGAGAUCCUGUGGCCAAGUCCUGGGAGCCUGGCGUUUUGUGCCUCUCUCCAGUUCUCUAAGCCAGAACCUGUCCAAGACUUCUGGCAGGAUUGCAGGUAGAUGAGAGGAGGUGGAGGUGGGGAUCUGAUGGAGUUCACAGUCCUUAACCCAAACUUGGCCUCAGAUCCCUCUCUCCCACCUUCAGCGGCACGAACCCACCACCUGCUCCCAGAUUCUCAGCUCCCUACCCUCCUCCCGGAAGCCCUCUAGAGCUCCUGACAGGCUGGUGUUAGGGCCUCUCACCCUGGGGCACGUGCACGAUGCCCACGGUCACUCCAGCCACCGCAUCUCCGAGCAGCCAGGUUCGCCAGCGGUAAUGGGGCAGCCAGUGCAGCGGGGGCAGCAGAGCCAGCAGCAGGCGCCACGCCCCCGUCCUGGAACAGGAGCGAGCCCGCAGCCUCCACAGUCCGCAGACCCGGGGAAAGCGGCGCUCUGCAGGUCGCUCCGGCUCUAGCUCUUCGCUCCCGAAGAGCUGAUGGAACCGAGCCUCGGCCAGGCGUGGCUCCCGCCUGUAAUCCCAGCACUUUGGGAGGCCGAGGUGAGCAGAUCGCCUGAGGUCAGGAGUUCCAGACCAGCUUGACUAACAUGAAGUGGAGGUUGCAGUGACUGGACUCCAGCCUGGGCGACAGAGCAAGACUCCAUCUUAGCCAAACAACAACAAAAAAUGCUGUUCACAAAGUGGUCACUCAAAAGUACAUACAUGGUUAAACUAAGUGCAAAGGAGUCAGCCACCCACCUCAUGUAUCCCUAUGGUUCCUAAAGAAAUACAAAGGUUCUGAACUCCA